rnacentral:rRNA from 1 species
GAUGAACGCUAGCGGCAGGCUUAAUACAUGCAAGUCGAGGGGCAGCACAGAUAGCAAUAUUGGGUGGCGACCGGCAAACGGGUGCGGAACACGUACACAACCUUCCUUUUAGUGUGGGAUAGCCCAGAGAAAUUUGGAUUAAUACCACAUAGUAUAUUGGAGUGGCAUCACUCUGAUAUUAAAGAUUUAUCGCUAAAAGAUGGGUGUGCGUAUGAUUAGGUAGUUGGUAGAGGUAACGGCUCACCAAGCCUUCGAUCAUUAACUGGUGUGAGAGCACGACCAGUCACACGGGCACUGAGACACGGGCCCGACUCCUACGGGAGGCAGCAGUAAGGAAUAUUGGUCAAUGGACGGAAGUCUGAACCAGCCAUGCCGCGUGAAGGAUGACGGCCCUCUGGGUUGUAAACUUCUUUUAUGUGGGACGAAAAAGGGCCAUUUUUGGUCAACUGACGGUACCAUAGGAAUAAGCACCGGCUAACUCCGUGCCAGCCGCCGCCGUAAUAC